UGGGAGGCAGAUACCUGGGCAGUGCUAAGCAAUGCUCUGUCCGUCACAUGACCUCCCUACAGAAUCCUUGCUCUCUGAUGACCGCGGUGAACUGAGAGAAAUCACCACGGACAGAUACGGAGCAGACAUUC
ensembl:scaRNA small Cajal body-specific RNA 8